rnacentral:rRNA from 1 species
AGUGAACGCUGGCGGUAGGCCUAACACAUGCAAGUCGAACGGCAGCACAGUAAGAGCUUGCUCUUACGGGUGGCGAGUGGCGGACGGGUGAGGAAUACAUCGGAAUCUACUUUUUCGUGGGGGAUAACGCAGGGAAACUUACGCCAAUACCGCAUACGACCUACGGGUGAAAGCAUGGGAUCUUCGGACCUUGCGCGAGUGAAUGAGCCGAUGUCGGAUUAGCUAGUUGGCGGGGUAAAGGCCCACCAAGGCGACGAUCCGUAGCUGGUCUGAGAGGAUGAUCAGCCACACUGGAACUGAGACACGGUCCAGACUCCUACGGGAGGCAGCAGUGGGGAAUAUUGGACAAUGGGCGAAAGCCUGAUCCAGCCAUACCGCGUGGGUGAAGAAGGCCUUCGGGUUGUAAAGCCCUUUUGUUGGGAAAGAAAAGCAGCAGGUUAAUACCCCGCUGUUCUGACGGUACCCAAAGAAUAAGCACCGGCUAACUUCGUG